AGAGAGAGACAUGCGCGCAUAUCAAUAAGCGGAGGAAAAGAAACUAACAAGGAUUCCCCUAGUAACGGCGAGUGAAGCGGGAAGAGCUCAAAUUUGAAAUCUUAAAGGGUUUCCCUUUACGAAUUGUAGUUUAAAGAAGUGUUUUCUGUUGAGGUUUUGGUAAAAGUUCUUUGGAAUAGGACAUCAUAGAGGGUGAGAAUCCCGUAUUUGACCUUUACUUUCAACUUUGUGAUACACUUUCAAAGAGUCGGAUUGUUUGGGAAUGCAGUCCAAAAUGGGUGGUAAAUUUCAUCUAAAGCUAAAUAUUGGCGAGAGACCGAUAGCGAACAAGUACCGUGAGGGAAGGAUGAAAAGAACUUUGAAAAGAGAGUUAACCAGUACGUGAAAUUGUCAAAAGGGAAGCGUUUGACACCAGUGUUGUUUUUCUGAAAAUCAAUUAAAGAACUGUUUAUGCUAAGCUUGUUUAGACUUUAUCAGCUAACUGUUUAGUUUUGAGCUUUUCUUUAAUGCACUUUUCAGUUAACAAGUCAACAUCAAUUUCUUUUGCUGUAAAAAAGCUUGAGGAAGGUGGCUUGAGAUUCGUCUUAAGUGUUUAUAGCCUCUUGCCUAUGCAGUCGGAGAGAUUGAGGUCUGCAGCGUAGAUCCUUCGGGGCUAAAUGCAUUUGUGCUAAGUUAUAGCAUUUUAUAGACAACUUGUUGACUAUGAUUUGUCUUGUAGCUUACUCGCUUAUGUUAUUUUACCUACGCUUAGGAUGUUGACGCAUGAGAUAUACGC
rnacentral:rRNA from 1 species